UACGGGGGGGGCAAGCGUUGUUCGGAAUUACUGGGCGUAAAGGGCUCGUAGGUGGCCAACUAAGUCGGACGUGAAAUCCCUCGGCUUAACCGAGGAACUGCGUCCGAUACUGGUUGGCUUGAGUUUGGGAGAGGGAUGCGGAAUUCCAGGUGUAGCGGUGAAAUGCGUAGAUAUCUGGAGGAACACCGGUGGCGAAGGCGGCAUCCUGGACCGGCAUUGACGCUGAGGAGCGAAAGCUAGGGGAGCAAACGGG
rnacentral:rRNA from 1 species